rnacentral:rRNA from 1 species
AGGACGAACGCUGGCGGCGUGCUUAACACAUGCAAGUCGAGCGGAAAGGCCCUUCGGGGUACUCGAGCGGCGAACGGGUGAGUAACACGUGAGCAACCUGCCCUUAGCUCCGGGAUAGCUCCGGGAAACCGGAAUUAAUACCGGAUAUGACCUAGGCCGACAUCGGCUGUGGUGGAAAGUUUUUCGGCUGGGGAUGGACUCGCGGCCUAUCAGCUUGUUGGUGGGGUAAUGGCCUACCAAGGCGACGACGGGUAGCCGGCCUGAGAGGGCGACCGGCCACACUGGGACUGAGACACGGCCCAGACUCCUACGGGAGGCAGCAGUGGGAAUCUUGCGCAAUGGGCGAAAGCCUGACGCAGCGACGCCGCGUGGGGGAUGAAGGCCUUCGGGUUGUAACCCCUUUCAGCAGGGACGAAGCGAAAGUGACGGUACCUGCAGAAGAAGCGCCGGCUACUACGUGCCAGCAGCCGC